rnacentral:rRNA from 1 species
AAACUUUAUACAACUUUCAGCAACGGAUCUCUUGGCUCUCGCAUCGAUGAAGAACGCAGCGAAAUGCGAUAAGUAAUGUGAAUUGCAGAAUUCAGUGAAUCAUCGAAUCUUUGAACGCACCUUGCGCUCCUUGGUAUUCCGAGGAGCAUGCCUGUUUGAGUGUCAUUAAUAU